GGCCGAUUAGCUCAAUGGAUAGAGCGCCGCCGUCCUAAGGCGGGCGUUGGGGGUUCGAUUCCCUCAUCGGCCACCA
rnacentral:tRNA from 1 species